rnacentral:lncRNA from 1 species
GCGGGCGGCAACGGGAAGGCGGCCGGCGCACACGCGCCCGCAGCGCCCCCACCUCAGGCAGCGAGGCCAGGGACUCGGAGAAUUUUUCACGGACAGCCUGUGGGGCACACUCCCCCACGCAUGGCAAGAAGUGCUGGACGGACUGAACCCACCAGAGCUGGCCACCCUGUUGCUGGGGAUGCCCAGGGAAGGGGAGGAGAUCAGGUACAGGUCUGUGUGGCCACUCACCCUGCUGGCCCUGAAGUCCACAGCUUGUGCCCUCGCCUUUACCCGGACACCUGGCUUUCACACUCCAUCAGAGUUCCUGGAGAACCCCAGCCAGAGCUCCCGGCUAACAGCUCCUUUUCGGAAACAUGUCAAGCCCAAGAAGCAGCAUGAGAUCCGGAGGCUGGGAGAG